CUACGUGCCAGCAGCCGCGGUAAUACGUAGGUCCCGAGCGUUGUCCGGAUUUAUUGGGCGUAAAGCGAGCGCAGGCGGUUUGAUAAGUCUGAAGUUAAAGGCUGUGGCUCAACCAUAGUUCGCUUUGGAAACUGUCAAACUUGAGUGCAGAAGGGGAGAGUGGAAUUCCAUGUGUAGCGGUGAAAUGCGUAGAUAUAUGGAGGAACACCGGUGGCGAAAGCGGCUCUCUGGUCUGUAACUGACGCUGAGGCUCGAAAGCGUGGGGAGCGAACAGGAUUAGAUACCCUGGUAGUCCACGCCGUAAACGAUGAGUGCUAGGUGUUGGAUCCUUUCCGGGGUUUAGUGCCGCAGCUAACGCAUUAAGCACUCCGCCUGGGGAGUACGACCGCAAGGUUGAAACUCAAAGGAAUUGACGGGGGCCCGCACAAGCGGUGGAGCAUGUGGUUUAAUUCGAAGCAACGCGAAGAACCUUACCUACUCUUGACAUCCAGAGAACAUUC
rnacentral:rRNA from 1 species